rnacentral:rRNA from 1 species
UACGUAGGGGGCAAGCGUUGUCCGGAUUUAUUGGGCGUAAAGAGCGUGUAGGCGGUUAGGUAGGUCCGUUGUGAAAACUCGAGGCUCAACCUCGAGACGCCGAUGGAAACCAUCUAACUAGAGUCCGGAAGAGGAGAGUGGAAUUCCUGGUGUAGCGGUGAAAUGCGCAGAUAUCAGGAAGAACACCCGUGGCUAAGGCGGCUCGCUGGGACGGUACUGACGCUGAGACGCGAAAGCGUGGGGAGCAAACAGG